AAUGGUUCUUUUCAAGGUUCUUUUCAACAUAUUGGCAGAUUAUUACAUUCUGGAAAAGGUUCUUUUCAAGUAUGCAAGAUCAAGGUUGAGCAACAACACAUUAAUUGUUUGUGAGAAUAGAAUAAUCGAAAGGCUGUCCAGAUUAUUAUGCUUAUGCUGUGAAGUUCAGAGUUAUGGCAGAAUAUUGAUUAUAUGUUAAAAAAAAGCAACAUAUGGUCGCCGGAACGGUAAACAAGAAAAAGGUGAAAUUCAUCCCAUUGAAGAUGGAAAGACUGCUGACCUUCUACUCAAAUGGAUUAAUACACAAUUGGGAAGAAGGUCAUGCUGCAAGUAGGAGAAAAAUCUAUAUGGUGGAGAAGAAAGCUUAUGAUGAAUACAAAUCGUUAACAUGAAAAGCAUAUAUUACUUUUCUUUUUUAAGCAUGCAAAUAUAGGGUUCUGAAAGCUAGGAGCUUGACAGAAUGUAAUAGAGGCUACAACUUUUACUCUUUCAUUUCUUUGUAAAAGAAUGUAUAUUAUGUAAGUGCUUAAUGUUUAUGAUGGCUGCACCAUCUAUCCUGACCGUUCUUCCCAUUACAUAUUUUGAUAGUUUAUAUAGAUAGAGAGAGAUGAAGUUAGAAUCA